rfam:Beta vulgaris subsp. vulgaris Bvchr2.sca005.con0072.1, whole genome shotgun sequence.
CUCGAAAUGUAUUGAGGCGCAGCAGUUGACUGCGCAUCUAGGGGUAAAACACUGUUUCGGUGCGGGCCGCGAGAGUGGUACCAAGUCGAGUAAUACUAGAUAUGACCUCCAAAUAACGACUAGUGAGAUGAUGGGGGAUAAGCUUCAUCGUCAAGAGGGAACAGCCUGCAUCACCAGCUAAGGCCCCUAAAUGACCGCUCAGUGAUAAAGGAGGUAGGGGUGCAGAGAAAGCCAGGAGGUUUGCCUAGAAGCAGCCACCCUUGAAAGAGUGCGAAAUAGCUCACUAAUAUCUAGAGGAAAGCAAAAUCAAUUGGCCAAACAUUCUUCCUCGUUUUUAGUUUAAUGAGUCUCAUGUGUCAUGUUGUG